GACGAACGCUGGCGGCGUGCUUAACACAUGCAAGUCGAACGAUGAAGCCGGAGCUUGCUCUGGUGAAUUAGUGGCGAACGGGUGAGUAACACGUGAGUAACCUGCCCUUGACUCUGGGAUAACUGCGGGAAACUGUAGCUAAUACCGGAUACGACCCUCGGAGGCAUCUCCUGGGGGUGGAAAGAAUUUCGGUCAAGGAUGGACUCGCGGCCUAUCAGCUAGUUGGGGAGGUAAAGGCUGACCAAGGCGACGACGGGUAGCCGGCCUGAGAGGGUGACCGGCCACACUGGGACUGGGACACGGCCCAGACUCCUACGGGAGGCAGCAGUGGGGAAUAUUGCACAAUGGGCGCAAGCCUGAUGCAGCAACGCCGCGUGAGGGAUGACGGCCUUCGGGUUGUAAACCUCUUUUAGCAGGGAAGAAGCGAAAGUGACGGUACCUGCAGAAAAAGCACCGGCUAACUACGUGCCAGCAGCCACCGUAA
rnacentral:rRNA from 1 species